GGAAAGAUCAAAGAAUUCAUGUGGAGAGUCCUUAAUGCUAUCUUACCUACAAAAAACAGCCUUUUGAGGAAACAGGUUGUGUCAAGUGCUUCUUGUCCAAUCUGCAAUAUGGAGGAAGAUUUUGUAUGUGAUGUAUCGGAUUUUUAGGA